rnacentral:rRNA from 1 species
AGCAGCCGCGGUAAUUCCAGCUCCAAUAGCGUAUAUUAAAGUUGCUGCAGUUAAAAAGCUCGUAGUUGAAUUUCGGGAUCGAUAUAUCGGUCGUGCCUCGGUACGUACUGGUAUUUUCGGUUUCUCCCUUCUGACGAACCUUGAUGUCAUUAAUUUGGUGUCUUGGGGAAUCAGGACUGUUACUUUGAAAAAAUUAGAGUGUUUAAAGCAGGCUCACGCUUGAAUACAUUAGCAUGGAAUAAUGAAAUAGGACGUUUGAUUCUAUUUUGUUGGUUUCUAGGAUCGACGUAAUGAUUAAUAGGGAUAGUUGGGGGCAUUAGUAUUCAAUUGUCAGAGGUGAAAUUCUUGGAUUUAUUGAAGACUAACUACUGCGAAAGCAUUUGCCAAGGAUGUUUUCAUUAAUCAAGAACGAAAGUUAGGGGAUCGAAGACGAUCAGAUACCGUCGUAGUCUUAACCAUAAACUAUGCCGACUAGGGAUCGGAUGAUGUUAAUUUUUUAAUGACUCAUUCGGCGCCUUACG